CAUUUGCCAGUGCAGUGUUGUAAAACCAUAUUUUUGAGUUGAUAUGUGUCUAUGUUCCCUGCAGUGAUUUGCCCCUGACUGGUUGUACCCUGCCUUUCCUGAUGAACUUGUGUUUUGUUCCUAUGUGUUUGCUCUCACUGAAUACAGACAACACUAACUCUUACUCCGAAUGCUUUGUUCAGUGGUUACGACCACUUUGUAACUCUAUUUGCAUUAAGUCAUUCAUCUGCAGUUUUCCGUUCUUUUAAUGUUGGUUGACAAAACUCUAAACUGUGACCAGGAUAUUUAUUUUAGAUCCAGAUCGGAAACUGUUUAAUACAAUGGAUCUCAAAUAAAUAUUCUGAUCUUCGGGUUUACUUUUUAUUUUGUAUUUUUUUUUCAAAGAGGUGGAGCAUCACAUCGCUGAUGUUUAAGGUAGACCUCAAGCUUGAAUCUCAUUGCCUUGAACUACUGCCUGACCUAUUAUACUUGUGCUCUUUCCUCUCUCCCACCUCAACCCCACCCCAACUACAUUUCCCAUGAUCCAUCUUGUUCGUGCUUUUGUUUAUUCCCGUUACAUUGUUUUAUUUUAAUAACAUGGUUUCUACCCCCUCUGCCCCUCUUCAUUGUUGCCAUCACUUGUGUUUUGUAGUACAUAGUGUUUGAGGCUGGACAUGAGCCGCUGCGUGGCCCUCAGUCAGAGGAGAGCGUUUAUCAGGUCCCAACCAGUCAGCAGAAGGAAGGGAUCUAUGAUGUCCCAAAGCGGCAUUUCUUCACUAAUAUCAACCACUUUGACCUGUUCGGAGACAUGUCUACUCCUCCCUCGGUAAGUAUCUCUGAGUUACUGCUUCACUGCUUGUACAUUGUGCAACAGCAA
rnacentral:lncRNA from 1 species